AUUGAACGCUGGCGGCAGGCUUAACACAUGCAAGUCGAGCGGGGGAAGGUAGCUUGCUACCGGACCUAGCGGCGGACGGGUGAGUAAUGCUUAGGAAUCUGCCUAUUAGUGGGGGACAACAUCUCGAAAGGGAUGCUAAUACCGCAUACGUCCUACGGGAGAAAGCAGGGGAUCUUCGGACCUUGCGCUAAUAGAUGAGCCUAAGUCGGAUUAGCUAGUUGGUGGGGUAAAGGCCUACCAAGGCGACGAUCUGUAGCGGGUCUGAGAGGAUGAUCCGCCACACUGGGACCGAGACACGGCCCAGACUCCUACGGGAGGCAGCAGUGGGGAAUAUUGGACAAUGGGGGGAACCCUGAUCCAGCCAUGCCGCGUGUGUGAAGAAGGCCUUAUGGUUGUAAAGCACUUUAAGCGAGGAGGAGGCUACUUUAGUUAAUACCUAGAGAUAGUGGACGUUACUCGCAGAAUAAGCACCGGCUAACUCUGU
rnacentral:rRNA from 1 species